GGUAAAAUGGCUUAGUCAUUCACUGUCACCCCAAGAAUAGUGCACAUUCCAGUGAACAGCUGAGCCCAGCAAGGGCCAUCUGCCCGUGGCCCAUGCACCAAUGUCCCUGUACUGCCCUUCUUGGCGCUACCCAGAAUGCCUCACUCAGAAGCAUCGCGGGACUCCUGGCUUUCCCAUACAUCUCAAACAGGGACCAGAGCAAGGGAAAUAAAUACGAGAAAUUAAAGUCUGUUUUCAUUAUGUAGCAUUUUGAAAACAAGUUAGCUUGCAAAUUCCUAAAACGCAGUAAUUAUGCCUUUAUGCCGUUUUGUGUCUCUCAUAGUUUCUAUACCAGCAUUUCUAACCUUGACACUAUGGAAUUUCAAGCCAGACAAUUCUUUGUUGUGGGAGGCCAUUCUGAGCAUUGUAGACUUCCUAGUCUGUACCGCCGAAUGCUAGCGGCAGCCUUUCUUCUCCAAGCUGCGACAAUCAAAAAUGUCUGCAGACAUUGCCAAAUGGCCCCUGGGAGGCAAAGCUACCCUUUGGUUGACAGCUGCUGAUCUAUACAACAGUGCGGCUGUCACCCACUGCUCAGGUCCAGGAGGGCAGCUCUCCCAGGGAGGCCAAGGGUCUGGGAAGGUGAGUACACACAGAAGUCGGAAGUAAAGAGCCACCAGCAAAGGUGACCCACCUGGACACCUUCACCACAGCAGCACUGGGCUCUCCCGCGCUGUGCUGUGAUGCUGCAACCCAGGCCUCAUGUGUCUCCCUGGGCCUGCCUCAAUGCGGGCUGCCUGUGGCCUGUCCCCUUGCCUUCUCCAGAUAAAAAGUCAUUCUGUUCCUGGA
rnacentral:lncRNA from 1 species